rnacentral:tRNA from 1 species
GCGGAAGUAGCUCAGUUGGUAGAGCACAACCUUGCCAAGGUUGGGGUCGCGGGUUCGAGUCUCGUCUUCCGCU